GCUAACGUGACAGUGUGCGAGGCAGACGAAAUUUUUACGACAGAGUUUUCGAAAGUUUUCGAGCUUUCAGGUGUCUGUCGGACAUGUCGUGCGAGCAGAAUAGCAAUACAGAGACUGAUGACACAGAGGACACAGUAUCAAAAGAUAACGGCGAUGUAGCUCUUGAAGAACAUGUACCUCCCACAUAUGUCAAGCACAUGUUAUCAAAUGUUCUUUUUAAAGCGGCCUUGGGGGAGUAUGAACAGCAAACUCCGAGCAUCGAAACAUUGGUGCAUAACCUAGCUGUGAAAUUGUAUUUGUGGACGAUAAUAAUUGCGACGAAUUUGUUAAAACAGAAACAGGAGAGCUCGAAUUAAUUCGAUUUUGGAAAUAAAUAUUUUUAACUCUUUAA